AUUGAACGCUGGCGGCAUGCCUUACACAUGCAAGUCGAACGGCAGCACGGGAGCAAUCCUGGUGGCGAGUGGCGAACGGGUGAGUAAAGUAUCGGAACGUGCCCGGUCGUGGGGGAUAACGUAGCGAAAGUUACGCAAUACCGCAUACGAUCUAUGGAUGAAAGCGGGGGAUCGCAAGACCUCGCGCGAUUGGAGCGGCCGAUAUCAGAUUAGGUAGUUGGUAGGGUAAAGGCUCACCAAGCCGACGAUCUGUAGCUGGUCUGAGAGGACGACCAGCCAUACUGGGACUGAGACACGGCCCAGACUCCGACGGGAGGCAGCAGGGGGGAAUUUUGGACAAUGGGCGAAAGCCUGAGCCAGCCAUGCCGCGUGCAGGAUGAAGGCCUUCGGGUUGUAAACUGCUUUUGUACGGAACGAAAAGGUUUGGCCUAAUAAGCUGAGCUCAUGACGGUACCGUAAGAAUAAGCACCGGCUAACUACGUGCCAGCCGCCGCCGUAA
rnacentral:rRNA from 1 species